GUAGCUAUAGUUCAAAGGUAGAACACUCGUAUGUGGCGCGAUAUAUCUGAGUUCAAGUCUCAGUAGUUAUC
rnacentral:tRNA from 1 species